rnacentral:rRNA from 1 species
UACGAACGCUGGCGGCGUGCUUAACACAUGCAAGUCGAACGGAAAGGCCCUGCUUUUGUGGGGUGCUCGAGUGGCGAAGGGGGGAGUAACACGCGAGUAACCUGCCCUUGACUGUGGGAUAACUUCAGGGAACUGGGGCGAAUACCGGAUAGGAGCUCCUGCAGCACGGGGGGGGAUGGAAAGUUUCGGCGGUUGGGGCUGUACUCGAGGCUUAUCAGCUGGUUGGGGGGGUAGGGGCUUACCAAGGCUUUGACGGGUAGCCGGCCUGAGAGGGUGACCGGCCACAUUGGGACUGCGAUACGGCCCAGACUCCAGCGGGAGGCAGUAGUGGGGAAUAUUGCGGAGUAGGAGGAAGUCUGAUGUAGAAACGCCGCGUUCGGGAUGCCGGCCUUCGGGUUGUAAACCGCUUUGGCAUGUGAUGAAGAGUGAGUGACGGUAAUGGGUAAAGAAGCACCGGCUAACUACGUG